rnacentral:rRNA from 1 species
CCUACGGGAGGCAGCAGUGAGGAAUAUUGGUCAAUGGACGAGAGUCUGAACCAGCCAAGUAGCGUGAAGGAUGACUGCCCUAUGGGUUGUAAACUUCUUUUAUAAAGGAAUACAACGAGGCACGUGUGCAUUUUUGCAUGUACGUUAUGAAUAAGGAUCGGCUAACUCCGUGCCAGCAGCCGCGGUAAUACGGAGGAUCCGAGCGUUAUCCGGAUUUAUUGGGUUUAAAGGGAGCGUAGAUGGGUUGGUAAGUCAGUUGUGAAAGUUUGCGGCUCAACCGUAAAAUUGCAAUUGAUACUGGCAGUCUUGAGUACAGUUGAGGUAAGCGGAAUUCGUGGUGUAGCGGUGAAAUGCUUAGAUAUCACGAAGAACCCCGAGUGCGAAGGCAGCUUACUAAACUGUGACUGACACUGAUGCUCGAAAGUGUGGGUAUCAAACAGGAUUAGAUACCCCUGUAGUC